AAUAAGUUCAUUUUUCAGCUCUCGAUAAAAUGUUUGACCCUUUGUCUUAUUUUAAAAAAUUAUGAUUAAUAUAGUUAAUGUUAUUAGAUGAUAAAACAUGAAUGAUAUUUUACGCGUGACUAAUUUUUUGAUUUUUUAAAUAUUUUUCAAAUAAGACGGAUGAUCAAGCGCUAGACAUAGAAACU
rnacentral:pre_miRNA from 1 species